rnacentral:tRNA from 1 species
GGGGCUGGGGCUCAGUGGUAGAGCGCUUACCUAGCAGGUGUGAGUCACUGGGUUCGAUUCUCAGCACCA